GUAAGUUCUUCUAAUGUUGUUUCUUUUUAGAUUUUCGGGAAGUGUGCAAUGACUAAAUCAUAACCACAUUCAGAUGACCACUGCAACAAGCCACACCAGGUCACAAAACUUUGUCCUGCUGCCGAGGCCAAAAUAGUAGUAGUGCUUGGAGCAAGCAGAAUAUUUUCACGCGAAAUCUUUAAACAGCCUUAGGCUGUUUACAAAAAUAAACAACGCAAAGAGCCAAGCAAAGUAGAAAAACAAAAUGUUGGUCCUUUCUCCAAACUAUAGCAGCAAUUAAAGCGCCAAUGCAACUGCAACUUUUGUGUCUUGAAGCAUUUUGCUGAACGCCAGUGCAGACAUAAAAUCAUGAAGUCGAUUUCUUCUUUGCCGCUGAAUACUUUUCACGCUGCCAAUUACGAAGAACGCCAAGAUGCUAUGAAAGGACUAAUUUCAACUUGGGGAUUAAAAGUUUCCAGUUUGUAUUUAGUUUGACUAGAAACGGAAAUUACUUUUGAUUUUAUUACUUAUUGAAGGUGUGGGGUGACAAGAUGCUGAAAGCCCUUGGGCAUUUUUCUUAAAAAAUAAUAGCAAAAUUGAGUUUUUUACACAGCCGGAAGUAUAUGCUCGCUAAUGCAACACACGGUUUUGGGUAAAUCUUUUUUGCAACUUUAAAAUUAUUCGUUGUUGUCUUGAUGAGUGUCCUCCUAAGUGUGACAAGGACCCUUUUGGGAGAAAUGCUGGUUAGACAACUAAAUUAUUCAGUAACGGAAAUUAGUUCCGUGUAUCAAUUUUCCACAACUUGGAUAUUUGGCUUUCCUCAGAAACUCAUGAGUAACAUAUCGACUGUGUAUUUGGCAAAUAUGCGUUUUAAAAUCUUAAUGAACAUU